AAAUUGAAGAGUUUGAUCAUGGCUCAGAUUGAACGCUGGCGGCAGGCCUAACACAUGCAAGUCGAGCGGUAGCACAGAGAGCUUGCUCUCGGGUGACGAGCGGCGGACGGGUGAGUAAUGUCUGGGAAACUGCCUGAUGGAGGGGGAUAACUACUGGAAACGGUAGCUAAUACCGCAUAAUGUCGCAAGACCAAAGUGGGGGACCUUCGGGCCUCAUGCCAUCAGAUGUGCCCAGAUGGGAUUAGCUAGUAGGUGGGGUAACGGCUCACCUAGGCGACGAUCCCUAGCUGGUCUGAGAGGAUGACCAGCCACACUGGAACUGAGACACGGUCCAGACUCCUACGGGAGGCAGCAGUGGGGAAUAUUGCACAAUGGGCGCAAGCCUGAUGCAGCCAUGCCGCGUGUGUGAAGAAGGCCUUCGGGUUGUAAAGCACUUUCAGCGGGGAGGAAGGCGGUGAGGUUAAUAACCUCAUCGAUUGACGUUACCCGCAGAAGAAGCACCGGCUAACUCCGUGCCAGCAGCCGCGGUAAUACGGAGGGUGCAAGCGUUAAUCGGAAUUACUGGGCGUAAAGCGCACGCAGGCGGUCUGUCAAGUCGGAUGUGAAAUCCCCGGGCUUAACCUGGGAACUGCAUUCGAAACUGGCAGGCUAGAGUCUUGUAGAGGGGGGUAGAAUUCCAGGUGUAGCGGUGAAAUGCGUAGAGAUCUGGAGGAAUACCGGUGGCGAAGGCGGCCCCCUGGACAAAGACUGACGCUCAGGUGCGAAAGCGUGGGGAGCAAACAGGAUUAGAUACCCUGGUAGUCCACGCCGUAAACGAUGUCGAUUUGGAGGUUGUGCCCUUGAGGCGUGGCUUCCGGAGCUAACGCGUUAAAUCGACCGCCUGGGGAGUACGGCCGCAAGGUUAAAACUCAAAUGAAUUGACGGGGGCCCGCACAAGCGGUGGAGCAUGUGGUUUAAUUCGAUGCAACGCGAAGAACCUUACCUGGUCUUGACAUCCACAGAACUUUCCAGAGAUGGAUUGGUGCCUUCGGGAACUGUGAGACAGGUGCUGCAUGGCUGUCGUCAGCUCGUGUUGUGAAAUGUUGGGUUAAGUCCCGCAACGAGCGCAACCCUUAUCCUUUGUUGCCAGCGGUCCGGCCGGGAACUCAAAGGAGACUGCCAGUGAUAAACUGGAGGAAGGUGGGGAUGACGUCAAGUCAUCAUGGCCCUUACGACCAGGGCUACACACGUGCUACAAUGGCAUAUACAAAGAGAAGCGACCUCGCGAGAGCAAGCGGACCUCAUAAAGUAUGUCGUAGUCCGGAUUGGAGUCUGCAACUCGACUCCAUGAAGUCGGAAUCGCUAGUAAUCGUAGAUCAGAAUGCUACGGUGAAUACGUUCCCGGGCCUUGUACACACCGCCCGUCACACCAUGGGAGUGGGUUGCAAAAGAAGUAGGUAGCUUAACCUUCGGGAGGGCGCUUACCACUUUGUGAUUCAUGACUGGGGUGAAGUCGUAACAAGGUAACCGUAGGGGAACCUGCGGUUGGAUCACCUCCUUA
rnacentral:rRNA from 2 species